CCCACUGCAGCUCCGAGCACCUUCCCGACAUGCUGCAUGGCCUAGACGGCCAAGUGAGAUUGCGAAGAACUUGCCACUUGCACCAGUAAAGCUCCAUUGCACUAUGCCUGCUGAAGAUGCAAUUAAAAUCAAAGAAGGUGAAUCUGGGAGACAGCCUUGCAGAGACACCUUUGAAAGUUUCUUGUAUGUACCCAUGAGGACCGUCAUGGUAUCCACCCGCACCCUCUUGUUGGCUUUCUAUGCGGUGCCUCAGC